rnacentral:lncRNA from 1 species
GUUGGGGAUGUCUAGCUCACAGAGCUGCUGGAUUUCGGGAUUUGGUUGGACACUGUCCACUCCAGAUUGCCUCUCUUUGAGAGUUGGUGGUUCCAACGGUUAAAGUUUCCACCUCCUUUUGUGGGCUUAAGCACCCGUGCUUCUCAAUCAUUUCCCUAAGCUCUGUCACUUUUGAUAGAGACUUUUUACCACAGCUGGAGUUUCAAUCUCGUGGUGCCCUGAAAGGCUGAACAGAAUAGUUCCUACCAUGUGUGGCCAAGGAUACCAGAGUCUGAGCAGGAAGAGAGAGGAUCCAGCAUCUGUGGUGACCUACUACUUUCUGGGAACAGUCCUGGGCUCUCUAUCUGGCUUUCACCCAAAGCAACACGGAGGUGUGUACCAUGCCUACAUGCAGGCCACAGAACAUUGACUUCAUUUAUGUUCACCAAAGAAGAUGUGAGACAAUUUCAAAUCUGAGAAGAAAUAGAACACUUGUCUGAAUACUUAUUCAGAAUACUACAGAAUAGUAGGUGACUGCUGGAGUUUUGGGGUACUCAGCUGCUCGGAACAUUUCUCCCCCGCGACAGUGUAAGUUCCACCAGAGCAGAGGCUGCACUGGUUCAGCUCACCAUCACGUUCCCAUCAGCAUCCAGCACUGGCCCAGCUCCUCAAAUAUUUGUUGAAGGGACAAACGCCUCAUACGGUGCUGGAGAAGGAAGGGAG